AAAAAGGGCUUCUGCCAUGACUGGUACACGCCGGUAGCUCAUUUGCCCUGCAUGCAGAAUCUACAUCAAGAGGUUUUAGAAGCAUAAUUUUUGAACACCUGGGCAGCUGGUGAGUGUUUGUCCCGGCGUUCUC